AAUAUGUAGGGCUCGUCUCUCCCUUUUUGGAACAAAGUUACAAAGAAAGCACAUGGAACAACAAUAUGAAGAUAACACAAAUAAUAUAAAUGCAUCAACAUGCAAAUAAAAUCAGUCAUCAUAAUUACAAACAAGUCAUCCAUAAACCAUAGAAAAAUAUUCAAUGACACCUAAUCCUAAAAAGUGCAGGGUUCAUAAAUACAAAACCAAAUCACCUACGACAAAUACUAUUAAUAAAAUUAUUUACUUCAGUGAUAAACUCAAUAUGUCAACGAGAAAAUGCCAAGAGAGUAUCGCGGAUGGCCACAAUAUCAUGUGCCUGAUGCUCCACAAUGAGAUCAACUCGCUCAUGAACCUACCCAAUGCGCUAUACCAAGUCCAUAUGAAUAAUGUUUAUAUGCGUGAAAAUAGUAAUGGCAUCAGUGAUCUUAGGAUUUGAAGUAGCAGCAAGAAGAGGAGAGUAGUAAUAGAAGUUGAUGGAACAUCAAGAGCAGUAGGAGGAGUCUCAUCAUCUGACGAGUCAAGAUCCUUGGCAUGGGGCCGAAGCUAAGGAGGAGGAGGAGCAACACUGAGAUGUGCAUUACUCAUCCGGAGAAUAUGUCGUGAAAUGGCUUUACCAACUAGAAUGCAAGUCUCAACGGGCUCAAAUACAAUCUAAUGACAUGCCAGAAACUCAGUAAUCAGGAGCUUGAAUAGUAGAUAGGCUCGUGAAGAAUUAUCCAAUGAAGCCUCAAGGAUGAGAUUGAAAAUGAGAUGACUCAAAUCCACCGGCAUAUCUGAAGCAAAAUGGCAUGCAUAAAACGCCCAUGUGUCUCAUCAAUCUCACUAACAUAAGACUUGCAUUGAAACAGAUCACAGAUGAUAUGGUUAAGAACACGAAAUAUGUCCUUUAACCGUUUUUCGCUUUAGGAGACUUGAAGGACCGGGAGGCCAAUCACCCUCAUCAGUCAACAACAAGUGGGCCAUGGAAUUCAAGAAAGGUCCAUUCAUAGAUAGAGGAUAUGGAAACCCAAUAAUAUCGGUUCAAGAGGCUGUAUGUGGUGGAAGGUGUAAAUAUCAAAAAUAGAAAAGUUAAGAUACACCUCACGAACAUAGGACUUUAAUGUCUCGCCCUUCUUGUUCGAAGCAUGAAUAUUUGUAAAGAAUCUCCGGACAAGUUCUAAACAAAUCAAUCCCUUAGACACAGCAAGUCGUUGCCAACUCCACUUAGUAAAAUACGUAUAAAUAAGAGUCUCAAAAAACUAUUCAAGAAGAACACUCCGGGAAACAAACACUAGGCGAGAUUUUAAGGAAUAAUUAAAAUGGACCUUGCCCUUAGAGCUAGGACUAAAUUUAGAGACAUCAGGAUUAGAAGAGUCUCCGUGUUGGCUAGAACCAGAGGUACCAACAUUGCCAGAGCUACUACGAGAGCCAAUGACUUGUUAUUUACUAGUUGUACCCAUGGAAUGGUGGGAAGACUAGGUUUAGGCCCCUUCUUCUUUUGAGGAGUAGACAUUAUACAAGAAAAACAAUCCCAAAAUACCAAUAAAUGCAGACGCACCAGUCCAACAGAUGACUUGUCCAAGAAACAAAAAAAAAACUUCCAAUCAAAAACUUAGGUUUGGAAAUAGCACAAAAAUUCGCACAAUAAGGAAGAAUCGGAGAAGGAGUGGAUUACCUAGAGAUAGAUCGGAAGAACCAAAGAAGAAUGGAGGAGAAUUGGUCGCUUGAUCAAGGAGAUUCAUUGCCAAAGAUCACGUGAGCGAGAAGGAGAGAGAGAGAACGACUUUUGCUGAAAAGUGAGGGCAAAAAGCACAGUCAAUGGAAUUUUAUACUCGUCCUGAUAAGUGGACUUUGGGGGAUCGAGAUCCCGCGAACUAGCCAUUGGAAAUUUACCAUCACCCAGAUAAAUAGACUUUGCGAGAUCGAGAACUCACGAGAUCUAGUGAAACGAUCACUGAUAAGUAGACUUUGCGAGAUUGAGAACUCAUGAGAUCCCGCGAACAUUGCAGUAACAAAAAAAAAAUCACAAGAGAAAUGAAAUAAAAUACUAUCAAAAUGAACAUGUACAGAACUUCAUUCUCAACUCAGGCACAAUACAACCAAUGAAUUAAGAAGGCCAUGAGUAUGAGUGAGUUAACAGCAGCAUGGUCAAAGUAAAGAAUAAAAGCAAACUCAAGAUACCCCAGUAGUAAUGAUAAGAUCCAUAUAGCUACCAUGAAGAAGAUGCAUGUCGUCAAUUUAAAUCAAUACGAAUACAGAUCCUAGAACAACAAAUCCAGAUAGGAUUCAUAAUGGAGAUCUUAUCUUGACCCACUGAAGUACUUAGAAGUCAAACCCUAACAUGCUAUCCCAAUCAAUAUUAUAUAUAUAUAUAUAUUAUUAUAUAUAAUAUAUAUAUAUAUAUAUUAAUGUAGGGACAAAUUCUUCUAUUUAACCAUUUAAAAUUCUAACUCUAUCUCUCCAAUUAUCCAAUAUUAACAUUAGGUAACCAUUUGAGGAUUUGGUGGCUUCACACACAUUAGUAGGGGUAACCAUUCUCUUUUGUCCGUAACAAGGGUAGUUCUCUCACACUCAUAGGUAGACCUUUUGUAUUAUUCAAAAUAAUUUUUAUUUCAAGAAAAGGUAUACUAUGUUCAUGGUCAUUCUAGAUAUUCACGAACAAGAAGAUCAUCCAUCAUAAAGUUUUCAAAAAGAACAUAAAUAGGUGGAUUCAGAUUCGAGAGAUCCAUGCGAAGAGCACCAAAAUAAACUGAAACAGAGCAUGACUAGUAUCAUCAACGUCCAAUUGAAUACCAUACACAGUCAAAGAUUGUAUACUAGAUCAAUUAGAACAUACUCAUAAUACUACCAAUUCAUAGGAAGGCCUGUACAGGAAGAAGAAGAUAGAACAUGAAACAAGUAUAUACCCAAAAGAGACAUACACACUCACACACAUACCAUAAGACAUGGCUUUUGAAAAGAGAUUUGAAACACUCCAAAAACUCAAGCCCCAAUCUCCGCAAUAACAAACUACUCGGUGAGCACCAAUCCUAGGGAUUUAGCAAAAAAAAUUUAAACCUGUAAGAGUUGUCAAAAGGUUAGUGAAGAGAUUAGUUAAGUUGAUUUUCAGUGGAGCAUGCUCUAGAGAAAUAAAUUUCGCUUCGACUAGAUCACUGUGAAGUGAUUACGAAUGAUUAAUAUGUUUUAUGCAAGAGUGUUGAGCGGAAUUUUGCGAGAUACUAAAUCGCACUCUUUGUUGUCACAAAAUAAGGUCAUGACCUCUUUGUUGUUUAAAGCCAUAGUCACUAACAUUUUUUCAUUCAUAAGAGCUGAGUACAAUAGCUUCCAGUAGACCUAUGUACUCUGCAUCUCAGCAAUGGACAAGGAAAUGGCAUUCUGCUUUUUACUAUACCAAGCAACAAGGUUAUUACCUAUAUAAAAACACCCUCCAGAGGUGCUCUAUAUUAGUAUAACCUGCAAUAUUCUAUAUUAGUAUAACCUGCAAUAUCUAUAUUCAUGUCUAAGGAAACCAAUUACCAUACCCAAGAGUGUCAUUAACAUAUUUAAUGAUUCUUUUAACAGUAAAUAGUAUGACUCUUUGGGACAUGCAUGAAAAUGAGAACAAAUAUCAACACUAAAUGCAAUGUCAGGUCUACUAGCAGUUAAGUAAAGUAAACUACCAAUCAUACUCUAUACAGGGUUUGAUCAACAUCAUUUCCUAAAAUAUCCUUACUGAGCUUAAGACUAGUACUCAUAGGAGUUUUAGCAUAUUUAUUAUUUUUCAAGCCAAAUUGUUUCGCUAGGUAUCUAGCAUAUUUGGAUUGAGAGAGAAAAAUUUAUUUAUCCAUAUGUUUGACUUGUAAACCUAGAACAUAAUUCAACUCUCCCAUCAUACUCUUAAUUGACUUUUCAUAUGUUCAAAAAUAUUUUGAGCAAGCUUUUUAGAAGUAGAACCAAACAAAAUGUCAUCCACAUAAAUUUGAGCAAUAAGAAUGUGCUUUGAUUCUUUCUUCAUAAACAGGGUUUUAUCAGCUCUCCCUCGAGAAAAGCCAGACUCUAGCAGAAAAAUAGUCAACUUUUCAUACCAAGCUCGAGUGUUUGAGUGUCUCCUUUGCAACAAGUCUUGUCUUAUUCCCAGUGAUAGUGCAAAAUUCAUAAGAUUUAUUUUGAAAUAUCCAUUUGGUACCUAUCACAUUCAUAUUAUUAGGUCUAGAUAUAAGAGUCCAUAAAUCAUUACGCACAAAUUGACCUAAUUCUUUAUGCAUAGUAGUUAUCCAAUGCUCAUCAGUUAAUGCUUCUUUAACAUUUUUGAGUUAUAACUAAAAAAUAUAGCACAAGUAAUUUACCUCAUUCCUUACCUAACGCCUUGUCUUCAUUGGUUUAGUGACAUCUCCAACUACUUGAUCCAAUGGAUAAUUCAACUUUACUCUGGCUAAUGGUUUUAGAUUGAUUCUAGAAUCCUCUACCGCUUUGUCCAUUUGAAUAACUGCUCCAUCUCUAUUUUCAUUCUUUUUCUCAUUCACAAUAGCUCCAAAAGUUGCACUAUCUGAAUCACUAUUUUCAUCAAGUGUAUCAGCAGUGUGAACUAAAACAUCAUCAAUCAUAAUAUUUAUAAAUUCCAUAACAAUAAGAGUAUUCAAGUUAUAAACACGAUAAACUCUUCUAUUAAUAGAAUACCCAAUAAAUAUUCCUUCAUCACUUCGGGUAUCAAACUUACCCAGUUGCUCUCUAUCCCUCAAGAUGUAGCAUUUGCUCCCAAAUACUCGAAAGUAUUUAACAUUAGGCUUCUUACCUUUCCACAAUUCAUAGGGUGUCUUCUUGGUACCAACUUUUAGAUAGGCUCAGUUUGCAAUGUAGCAUGUUGUAUUUACUGUCUCGGCCCAAAAUUUCUGAGGAACUUUCUUCCCAUGCAAUAUUACUCGGGCCAUUUCAUGGAUUGUCCUAUUCUUUCUUUCUACCACGCCGUUCUGUUGUGGUGUCUUUGGUGCAGAUAAUUUAAGACCUUAAUCGAACCAUUCUCAUUUCAAAAUAACAUAAAAAAUUUUUAGUCUCUUUAAAUAAUACAAAAAUUCAACUCUCUAAUUUAUUUUGUUAAUAGAUUGGAAUUAGGGUUUGAGUUUUAAAAGUGGUGAGUAGCCACUAUAGAAGUUAUUUUUAUUAUUUAGGCGAAAAAUCAGUUUGUUCCGUUAGCCUAGAUAGGACAAAAGAUAAACCGGAGGUUUAAUUGUAACCGGAUACAAACUACAUAGGUCAAUUAAUUACAAUUGAACUUUAGAGUAAAUUUUUUUAAUAGUCCACAAUGCAGUGUUUUACAUAAUUCUCCUAUUAAUCAAUAGCUAACGAAAGUUAUUGUUGGUAUAUAUAUAAGUUAGCCUUGUAAAUUAGAGUUAAAAUAGGGGUAGCCACAAUAAGGGUACAUAUAAACUAAAAAUAUUUUAAUUUAUUUUGGUCCAUAAAGUUCUAAUUUGAACACUUACGACCUUACAGUUUUAAAUCUAAUCUCAAUGUAAUUACUCUAUCAAUAUCCAAUUAGACAGAAGGUAGAACAUGAAAACUCAUAUGGACUAUUUUUAGGGGACCGUAGUGAAACGUUUGUCAAAUAUCAAAAUUUUUAGUGGCUAAAGUCUACUCUCAAUUGGUGAGAAUAUAAAAUUUUUUAUGGCGAAUCGUGCCUUUUAUGCCCAGUUUGGUACGACAAAAAACUGUAUGUUUGAAAAUUUCGUAAAUUGAUAAACAUUUUUCAGAUGCAACAGGGGUGUCCGUGGUCCGAAUUGGUCCGGCCAUAAGAAUCCAUAACCAAUCCAUUUUUUUAACGGUUUUAAAAAAAAUUAAGAAGAUCAACUUUUAACCAUUACAAGUAAGAAACCAAACCAAAAAUCAAUUGCCUUACGGUUCGGUUCCGGUUCAAAUCAAUUAAAAAUCUAAAUAUUUUUAUAAAAUAUAAAAUUGCAAACAAGUUGUUCAUUGAAAUAAUUCUAAGUUCAUUAAUACUUUUAAGUCAUGAACCAAAAUUAGUACAAAAUAGUUCAUAGAGACUCCAAAUGAGUUACAUCAACCAACUCUAAAUAGACAAAUUAAUAAUUCAUAAAAGUUAGAAUCAUAAUGGUACUAACAACAAAGGAAUAAACGGGAAGAAGAAUUAAAAAAGAAUUUAUAAUGGAUAACAAAAGAAAAAUCAACUGAUAAAAUCUUGAAUAGAAAAAAAAGGUGCAAGGAUUUUGAUGGAAAGAAGAUGAAGUAAUCCUAAUAUCUAUGAGAAGUAAAAAUGUUUUUGUUGGGUAUGAUUACUAUCCCAAUAAGUGCGGAUACUUUCGUUUGUUUGUAUCAACAUAGUCCCUUCUUUCUCCUUUUUUUUUGUGUAGAUCUUCGUGCAUGUAAAACUUUGUGGGUACAAUAUUCAUCGCUAAACUUCCGCCACAGUCGCCACUGAUACUAAUAUGGCAGAAGAUUCAACACGAAAAUUGCACGUGGAUUUGUUAGGUUGGGCAGUUAGAAUCACCCAAUCCAAUUGCGCGCUUAAAUUUUCAACUCCUUCCCAAUUCCAAUGAACACAAGAGAAUUAAUAAAUUUAUUAAACCAAAUCAAACAUUAAUAUUAUUAUCAACAUCAUAUGAAAACAAUACUAGAUAACACCUUUCAGAAAAUCUAUCGUAUGGAUUAAUUUAGAUGUACAUAAUAGAGUCGAAAAUUAGGAUAGGGAAUAUUUAUUAAUUACAAAAAUUAAAAGUGGUGGCGUGAUGAUGUGGUGCAUUCUUUGCUUUCCUUUCUUCUAUGGUGCUCAUGAAUGCGUAUGCACCGGGCUCCGAUGGCAACCGCAGCUGCAACUUCUUCUUUUAUCUUGUGCUGGUGAGUGUGCUCCGGGUCUUUCUUUGCCUUGUGCUUCUCGUGCUGAAAUUUUUAUAAGAGAAUAUUUUUCAAAAAAUAUGAUUUACAAUUCUAAAAGUUAAAUGUAUUCAUUUAGCUCCAUUAGUUUCAAAAAUAUUUGUUUUUGAUGAACUUUUUUACUAUUUAAUCAAAAUUUUAUAAUUUUCAUUCCAGUUAUUCUUGGUGAGAGAAAAUAAAAAUAUAUAAAGAGAAUUUGAUCCAAUUUGAAAAAUAAUUUACUAAAUUAGACAAAAAAUCAUUUUCACUAUAAAAUAGCUGUUUUUUCGUUGAAUUGUUUUAAAAAUCGUGAUCCAAUUCUUUUAGAUUUUCAGCAUUCUCGAGGAUGAGAAUUUAUACAAUUUUAUACUCUAAACAAUAAAAUCAGCUAUGAAAAAACUCGGAAAAAUAAUUCACUAAAUUAUGACAAAACAAUCCAUUUUCCUCGAAAUUUUUUUAAUAGAAUUCUUUUAAAAAAUCUUGAUCAAAUUCUUUUUUACAUUUUUGUCAUUCUCUCUCCUCGGCAAGCAGAUUUGAGAAGAAUGCGAUUUUUUUAUAAAACAAUAUAAAAUUAGUUAUGAAAAAAUUCAAAAAAAAAAAAACCGAAACAACUAAGUUUUACUGACUUAAGCUAGUCCAAACUGACAAAAGGGUGUUGGAUAUAUUGCUACCAGCAUAAGUACCAGCGCCCAGCACCUAGCUGGUCCCAAGGUGCUUCUUUAUGCUUGCUGGUGUUUUUCCUCCUUUCUUAAAUCAUGCUUGCCUUCUUUUCUUCCCCGCCUUUGGAAUGUGGAAAAGGUUGUGGUGCUGGUGUUUUCUGUUCGGCCAUGGUGUGGACCUGGUGGUACGUGGUGGUGGUCUUAAAAUAAAAUUCUAAUGAAAAGCCACAACACAAAGUAUUUGGUAUAUGUGAUCAAAGUUGGUUUUGAUGGUUUUUGGAAACUCAUUAACAUGCAGGUGCUACUUAUAGUUUGAUCUCAACGCAAAGAGUCCGCACGCGGUUUCUUGCCAAUUAAGAUAUGAUUCCUUAAUUAUCUAGACUUGUGGAAAUUAACGCGUAGAUGAAUGUUCUUUGUCUUGUACUUUCAUAAUGGUAUAUGAAUGUUCUUUUUUUUUAUUUCAUGAAAAUAUUUUGUUUUAUUAUGAAAAAUUUGUUGAGUUCAAGCCCACCUGAAUGAGCCUUAGCCCGGUUGGUUUACAUGGAGUAUAGAGUGAAUCUCUCGGGUUAACUAGAACUCGUGUAAAAAUUAUCUCUUUUGAAGAGUUAGUCUUGAUUUAUGAUAAGUUUCACUAGAAAUAGGAUAACAAUUAGGUCUCUUAUUGGAAGUCUAACUACUCUUGCCUGUCUAUAAAAAGGAUGGUAGGGUGUUGAGAAUUUGUGUGCCCCGAAAGAGUACUAGUGAGUUGAGAGUGAGAGGCAAAACAGAGAGAUUGUGGAUUAUUGAUUUCUUUGUAAUCCCCUUCGUUCAAUUAGUUGAUUAUUAAUUUAUCUCCAUGAACGUAGGUAUCGUUGGCUGAACCACUUAAAUUUCUAUGUCUCCUGUGUUUGUGAUCGGUGAUUCGUUUUGAGCACAACAAAAUCAACCACUAAAAUCAACCACUAAAAUAUAGUAGAUUUUUAUUUUUACCCAUUCAUUCUUGAAUUAAUGCACUUAAAAACUUGCUAGUAUUCGUAAGGGAAAUCUUAGAAAUCAUUAAUGUUGAUUUGAUUUUGAGGACAUUAAAUGUUUGUUCUAUUAAAAUUUAAAACUCUUAAAAGAGAUAAACAAAAUGAGAUGGAGGGAGUAGUAUAUAUAUGCUAAUUUUGAAAAUUUUAAUCUUUUAAAGUAGAGCAUUUUUGACUUCUUAGAAAGUUAGGCAGAUCCUAGAUAUUUUAAAAUGAACAAAUAAAUUGUGAUAAAAGGAGUAGUAUUUAUAAGAUAAUAUUCUCUCUGUAUCUAAUUGUUCGUCAUUAUUUGUAGAAUUUCGGCGUUCAAAUUCAAAUUGAAAUGUAUUUUUUUCAUCUUAAUUUGUUUUUCUAUCUUUCUAAUUUAAGAUAUCCCAAAAUACUUGUCUAUUUUGCAAAUCCAAAACAUAAAAACUUGUUAGUUUUCCUAAGGGCAAUUUUAGCAAUCACUAAUAUUGAUUUGAUUGUGAGUGCAUUAAAUGUACAUUUUGUAAAAAAUUCAAAACUUUUAAAAGCGACCAAUAGAUUCAAAUGGAGAGAGUAUUAAUUUUCAGUAUCGCCCAUUUAUUCUCAUAGUCAUUUGUUGGUCUAACUUUGAAUGUUUGAAAAAAAUAAGUUUGAGUUGAUUUGGACCUAAUUUUUAGGUGGGUCCCCAUUAUUGAAAUAGUGGGAACCAUGUGCUCUUCAAAUAGAUACUCUCAUGGUGUAAUUGUUGGGUGUAUUCACUUCCUCAAAACGGAUAAGGGGUGAUUGAGAAAUUGUUCACCAAAGUACUACAAUUGAUAUGAAAAAUGUGAGUGGAAAUGAAAGUUCACAUCCAUUUUGUUGAGAUUUUAAAAAAAAAAACAAUAUAUAUAUAUAUAUAUAUAAUAUAUAGAUAUAUAUAUAUAAUAUAUAUAUAUUAUAGAUAUAUAUGCCAAGCUAGCACGAAUAGAUGAGUUAUUGGAGGGGGGGGGGUCGCACCAAUAUUAUGAAAAAAGGGAGUAUGGACAAAAGUAAAACUUUUUUUUUUUUUUUUUUUACCUUAUUGGGGCGCGGGUGCAAUGUGAAACUGGCUCUAUUAGAGGUGUACUGAGUAAUUAAUAAUUACUUUUUAGUCCGUUUAAUAUUUAAUUGUGGAAUAACUCUCAACUUUAUUCCCAUAAUCUUUCAAUACUGAUAACAACCAUCAUAAAUAAUUCAGAGUAAUUAACUAGUUAAUGGGCUGUUAUAAUUAUUUCAAUGGUAGAACUAUUACAAUGGUUUAAAUGGUAGAACUAUUACAAUAGUAAUUUUGUGACCUUUUAAUUGCAGCUUAAAAACUUAUAAAUUCCAACACCCAUGCAAGUUAAUUACAUAGAAAUUAGAGAGUUUAUCAGUGACUCAAAAACAAAGGGUUUCUAGUAUUCUGCAUUAGAGUCAUGAUGAGAGAGCAACACUACUGGCUGGUUUGCUAUGCAGACAUAAGUCGUGCUAAUAUACGUGUGUGUUAUCGUUGCAUCAUGAAAGACAAACUCUAAUUAACUGUAAGUACCAAGUGAUGGGGCUAAUGCUAUCUUAAGGAGACAGUGUAGAACGUUGGCCUCGGUCCAUUAUCAUUUUUUAUGUUUAUUAUUUAUUUCAAUUCGUAGUUCUGAUUUGUAAUAAUCUGAUAGUAUAGAUUUCAGAUUUAUUUUGUAUUUUAUUUUGUAUUUAUUUCACUACCCUAUUUUUUUAUUUUUUUAUUCAAUUAAUUAUUUUUAAAAUAGAAAAAAAUAUGAAAAUGUUGUCAAUUGUUUUUAAAAAUAAUAAUUCAAAAGGAGAAUUCUAAUAAUAGUUUUGCAAAAGUAGGAGAAAUAUAUUAUUUUAAAAAACUAUAGGCGAGAUUAUAUUGUAUUGUCAAAACAUCAUGAGAAGUCAAGAAAUUUGCCAAACAAAAAAAUAGUUUAGGAGCAGUUACUCUGGGUCCCAAAGUCAAAUAGAAUCACCCCAAGUAUUCUUAGAAUAAUUCUUCCAAGAGACUUUUGUUUUAGAUUUAACGAGGCGUUGUUGAUUCUAACCUCUCGGUUUGUCUAAUUAAUAAUAAUAAUAAUAAGGUUAGAUGUACACUUUUGCGACCCUAAAACAUUACUGAUUCUCGGUUAUUUAUAUAUUUUUUGUUUAUUAUUUUAUUGUAAUAUGUAAUUUUAUGAUUUGUAAUAAUCUGAUAGUAUAAAUUUUAGAUUUAUUUUGUAUUUUAUUACCUAUUUUUAUUUUUAUCAAUAAGUUUUUUUAAAAUAAAUAAAAAUGUUGUCAAUUUAAAAAAAAAUAAUUUCAAAAGGAGAAUUCUAAUAAUAGUUUUUCAAAAGUAAUAAAGAUGUAUAUUAUUUUAUAGGAAAAAUGUAUUGUAUUUGUCAGAAACAUCUGAUAGUAUAGAUUUCAGAUAUAUUUUGUAUUUAUUUCACUACCCUAUUUUUUAAUUUUUUAUCAAUAAAUAAUUUUUUUUAAAAAAACAAAUAAAUUCAAAAGGAGAAUUCUAAUAAUAGUUUUUCAAAAGUAAGAAAGAUGUAUAUAUUUUAAAAUCACUGGAGCGAUGUGUUGUAUUUGUUCAAAAAUAUCGUGAGAAGUAAAUUUAAACUUUACCCAAACAAAAAGGAGGGCAGAGAGCAGUUACUUGGGUCCAAAUAGAAUCACCCUAGUAUUCUAGAAUAAUUCUGCCAGAAGAAGACUUUUGUUUUAGAUUUACGAAGAGUUGUUGGAUUCUCAACCUCUCCAUGUUUGGCUAAUACUAAGACUAAUAAGGGUUAGAUACACAUUGCAACCUUAAAGCAUUGACUGAUUCUCACUUAGACUCUCCAAUUAAUUUUUUUUUGCAUUUCGUCCCUUGAUCUAGUGAUUGAUUUAAUAAUUUUAAGUGGCCACCUACGCGUAUAUGAGAAUACCCACUAACUGUAAUGUGUUCCAAUACCCAACCCCUAAUAAACCAAACCAUGGCCAAAUUUUAGCCACCACACACCACCAAUGACACAAAGGAAGCCACCCACAACAACAAACCUCCAAACUCCAAAGCACCAAUCACCAUCCAGUCACACACAUACACAUCCCCAUCCCCAUCGAUAGAGAGAGGACCCACCCACACCGACAACCUUUCACCACCCAAAAAAACCACCACCACCACCAUCAAUUCACUCACACACACAAUGACCACAGAGAGAGACAGUGGGUAGGGUCGCCGCCACCUUGAUUCCAGUCGUCGUUGCUUGAAUCGAGCUGCUACCGCCUCGUAUAGGACAGUCGAUUCCUCAAAUCAAUUCUUAAUUGCUUGGGUUGACACGCACCACCUAGAUACGAGCCACCUACACACCAGUUAAAAAUCUAAAUCUGCGGUGGUCGGUGUGCGUGGUGAUGGGGUUUACAGAUGAACCUUGGCGAAGUGGGGGCUAGGGUUUACGAUUGUGAAAAAUAUGGGGUAUUUAACCCCAAUUAAUUAAUGGUUUGGGUUGGCUUAGGUUAUUUACAUCCCUAGUCCUUGGGUUCUUGAGUUAUACAUCCUAAAUUUGGGUCUUGAAUCUAAAAUGGUAAUUGGAAUGCUUAUGUGACACUUAUGUUGCGCCUCCAUGGCACCCAAACCGUUAACAAGUUAAAUGGAAUUAGUAAAUGGUUUUAAUUGCAACAAAUUCAACAGGUCUAAAGCCAAAUUGGAAAAAAAUUUAGUUAGAGUCCCAAAGUGAGAAUUGGUGAAUACUAUAAUAGAGAAAAUGUAUUUAAUCCUAAUAAUAAUACAAUAAUGACCUCUCCUUCUCUUGGCUCCUGGAAUAAAUAUUACAUAGCAUUGAUGGUGUGAUAUCACCAAUUAAUAAUGUACUGACAAAUAAGACGAGUCCUAAAUGGUAAAUGCAAUUACCAAUUUUAAAAAUUCAAAAAUUGCCAUGUCUACAUAGUGGGGGUUCAAUAAUGACGUGGUAUAACUCUUCACCCUCCUCUUUCCUGCUAAUUCGAAUGGACAAGUUCAAGCGAGAUAGAAGUGUAUGAAGAAGAAACCAAAGAUCUGUGUUUUUUGUUUUUGUUGAAAUUU
rnacentral:lncRNA from 1 species